rnacentral:tRNA from 1 species
GCACUUGUAGCUCAGCAGGAUAGAGCGUCCGCCUCCUAAGCGGAAGGUCUCGGGUUCGAAUCCCGACAAGUGUGCCA